UAUAUAAGAGAUUUUAUACUAAAAUAUCCCCUAAUAAAUCACUUUCACAAAGACCCACUUCAAAUCAAAAAGUUCAUCUUUCUCUAAUAUUUCUCUCUCUAAACUCAAGGAAGAAGAAGAAGCCAUGGAAGCUUGAGUUUGAGGAUUUCAAAAGGGUUUCUUCAUCAAUUUUAUUCAAAGUUUCUUAAUAUAGGUUGUGGUAACUAAGGGGAUUCUCUAGUUGAAGGUUUGGAUUGCUAUUCCUCUAAGACUUGGUAUGUCCUCAUGGAUUCGAGGACAAAGAACUCUUAUGUUUCAUUUUGAUGUAUUAGACAAUUAGUAGUUUUCUAUUGUAAAGGGCCGUGUCCCUAUUAUGUAUUGAGAUUGUGUCUAAGAUGGCCAUGUGAGACUUAGACUUCCGUCGUGUCUUUUAAAAGAUGCCUUCUUUAUGUUUUGAAUAGAGUGGUUUUUGAAUAAAAUUUUUUAAUUCCGCACUA